GCUCAUUAGUUUGACAACAUUUGAAUAGUGGAAGAUGUCAAAUUUAUCUCAUUUCACUCGUUGAAGCUGUAGUUGCGGCAUAUUCCGAAGAAUGUAACAACAGACCUCUGUCGGAUGAAAGACGAAUAAGAUGUUGACAAUUACAGGCGCGGUAGAGGGCUACAGAUAAUGAGCGAAUUCCCUGAGUUGGUCCUGCUGUGUGGCCCUCCAUUUGUUGGCAAAUCUGAGUACUACAUGAGACAUUAUCAGAGGACACAUCGUAGAAUUUGCCCAGCAGAGGUUUUUGAGAAGGAUCCCUCUUCAGGCCUGCGCAGUAUUAUCUUGCAAGCUGUGGAGAUUCUGUUAAAUGGUAAUAAUGUUGUGAUUGAUGAUGAAAACCAGCUCAAGGAAAGCAGAUCUUCAUAUAUCAGAGUUAUAAAGAAGAA